AUUGUUCAACUGCUGAUGAAACUAACACUGUACAAGUGUGCAGAAAUUGGAUCAGUGUUAUUUCCUUAUAGUUGCUAGUUUAAAAUAAAAUCUACAGAAGACCUUAUAAUCAGUAGAUUUUUUGGCUUGCCUGUUGACAUUACCAGGAGGUAUAAGUUAAUAUAGACUAAUACCAAAGAGAGUUCCAAACAUAUACAUAUAUCAGUGUUCUAUAUCUGUGGUUCCAAACUUUUUUGCCAAUAACAGCGAACUUUCAGAUGACAUAUUCCUCCCCCUCCCCACUCAGACCACUCCCAGACAGUCCUAGCAAAAUUAUUGCUUGAGAAAUAGUUUUUUGCUAAAAAGCUUUUAGCUUUUUCAUGGUGUCAGAGUCGUGUGCGCAGGAGAGUCAAACGGAGUGUAAAAUGGAGUCUUUAAUUGAAUGUCCACAUAACAUGCUCCAUAACACUAAUAAGAACAGAUAUAAACAAACAUGGGUACGAGAACCCGUCGCACACCUAUACAGCAAACACAACACUGACAAUAAACAAUCUCUGACAAAGACAUGAGGGGAAACAGAGGGUUAAAUACACAACAGGUAAUGAAUGGGAUUGAAAACAGGUGUGUGGGAAGACAAGACAAAACCAAUGGAAAAUUAAAAAUGAUGGCUAGAAGACCGGUGACACGGUCCGAACAAGGAGAGGCAACAACUUCGGCAGAAGUCGUGACACAUGGAAAACUAUUACACUAAUGUAAAAUCGAACUCUGGAAAGAGGAAUCGACCAGGUUGGUUAGACACCGUUGGCACAGGUCAGAGCAUUUCCACGGGGCGAUGCCAACUGGUCGCGGGCGCUGCCAAGGCAGAGAUGGAUCAAGGUGACGGGCCGUGGCAUUCCUGGAACACAGAUCACAGAAGAUCAAAGAGGCCCAACCCAACAACCCAAUUCUAGUCCUGCAAAAAAAAAAAACCUGAAAACAUCUGCAACAAGAAUAUUUCCUCAAGGAAUAUCCCAUUGUGGAAGAUAUCCAAACAACCUCAUUGAGGCUGGCUGCCGCACCCUUGACUUAUUGGGCCAUGAGAGUUCGACAUGUGCAACAGCAGCUGCACCCCCAUUGUGUUUUAAAAGAAAGAUCACCGCAGUGGGCGUCCAUAUCGGGGGAGCAGGUUUGGUCAUGAUUUAUACACUUACAUAUACUAUAACCCCGCUGUGUAAAAACUGUACUUUACUUUUCUCUGCAGGGCCUAAAGCAACCAUUUUAAGUACAUAGAGACAUUGCGUACAGCCCCCUUGUGCAUGCUUUUACCACCCACCUCAUCCAGUUUGCUAGACACAAGAUCUUUUCAAGGCCGUAAUAACGUCAGAGGGCUGUGCAUUUAUUGCAUCGCCAGAAACUAAAAGACUUACCAGGGAUUAGUUAAAUCAAUUGACGAGAACUACAGCGUUACAGCACACCAAUGUAAUAAAGCAUUUCAGCAUUACAGCAGAUCACUAUUUUAACAGCCCUGAGAAUGUUUUCAGGAAUACAGAAGUUGUUGGCUAUUUACUGAAGGCUAUUUUGUAGAGGUAGUAACACAAUGCUUUUAUUCAAGUGGAAUCAAAGAGAAUGGUUUCUAAGAUGAUCAAACAGGCAUACUUGACAGUCAGCUAUGCAUGGAUGGCAUGGCUACUCUGUUUCAAAGUGCUGCUCCUCAAGCUGCCUCCGAGAUAUGGUUGCUAUGGUAAUAAGCAUCCUUGGUAAAACAGAGGGGAUAUGGUCUCUGUGAAGAGAGAUAUACAAGCAACACCUUCAAGCAGUCCAUGAAUGACAUUGACAGGCCGCUGGAGGGCAUUUGAAAGAAUCAGGGUCUGAAAGUACCAGUCAAAAGUUUGGACACAGCUACUCAUUCAAGGGUUUUUCUUUACUGUUAAUAUUUUCUACUUUGUAGAAUAAUAGUGAAGACAUCACAACUAUUAAUAACACAUAUGGAAUCAUGUAGUAACCAAAAAAGGUGUUAAAC
rnacentral:lncRNA from 13 species